GGUGAAACCCCAUCUCUACUAAAAAUACAAAAAUUGACCAGGAAAAAAUGGCAACCCAUUCCCAACUUGAAGAUUUCUCAUUGUUUUUACCAAACUUAAAGAAUCAGCAGCCGAGAGAGAAGUGCCUCAAAUUGUGUAUGGGCUGUUACCUUUCCAAAGAGAAGACUUAUGCUCUGAGAGAAGAUUUUCUAGCAGUGGAAAUGGAUUCACCUCUGGUGCUGUUUCAAGUUUCUGAACUUAUCAAACAGGCUGGUGCACAAGUGCCCUUGGCCUCGCCUUCAUAGCUCUGGCUGGGCCACAGGAAAGUCUUAAAACACCGAGGUUGGGGGGCUUCAGAAGAUGCUUGUUGACUUACUGGACAAAGAAGACAGUGAAGAUUUUAUAUGUAAUCUCUAAGACUCAUCUGUCUUACA